UACGGGGGGAGCAAGCGUUGUUCGGAUUUACUGGGCGUAAAGGGCGCGUAGGCAGUCAGCACAAGUCAGUUGUGAAAUCUCCGGGCUUAACUCGGAAAGGUCAACUGAUACUGUGCGACUAGAGUGCGGAAGGGGCAACUGGAAUUCUCGGUGUAGCGGUGAAAUGCGUAGAUAUCGAGAGGAACACCUGCGGCGAAGGCGGGUUGCUGGGCCGACACUGACGCUGAUGCGCGAAAGCCAGGGGAGCGAACGGG
rnacentral:rRNA from 1 species